GCAUCAGUGGUGUAACGGUAACAUUGGGUCUUCCCAUAAUCUUAUCUGGCCUAGCCCCGGGUUCGACUCCCGGCUGAUGCA